UUCCUGGCUUCUUCUUGCAGAUUAGUUGAAUUCAGUCCCCCUGUUCCAUCGGUCAACUCUUUGACUUCACGCAAUUUUUCUUUGCGCCAGCUUUCAAUAGCUUCUCGCUGCUCAGUGAUAUUGGCAUUCGCGUUCAAGCUUCUCAACCGCUGCAAAAUCUCAUCAGUUAACUUCCGUCUGACCUCCAUAGGUAAUUCAACCGACUUAUCAUCUCUCUUAAGCUCCUCCUUAAGUUGCUUAACCAAUUUAACAAGCUGUAGAGGUUCAUU
rnacentral:misc_RNA from 1 species